ensembl:lncRNA
GGGAACACACAGCAGUUUGCCCCUCAUCAGAGUAAGCACAUCAGACAUUACUUGCACUAACUGCAAUCAUUUCAGAUUCUAUGAAGCUGUGGGGAAAUGUGUUCAUCACACCACUGUACAAUCUACAGAGAUUUCAUUUGGAAGGAAUCCCGUCGAGGUGGUUUGUUUUCUUUCUUUAAUAUCUGCAACAGUCAGAAAAGUGAUGCGAUGCCUGUUCAGCACUACUCAUCAGGAGAAUAGUCUCUAAGAACUGAUGACUUCAAUGAUGGGAACAAGAUGUAAACUUCACUAAAUGUCAUGCUGCCAAAAUAUAACUGUCCUCAGAGCCUCUGACCUGACCCUGUCUCCCGUCAGCAGGUGUAUUCUCUUGACAUCUGCUGCAGAUAAAAGACACGAAUGAAAAGGGCAAUUAUGCAUGUUUGGUUACAACUGCUGUUGUACUGUAUUUGAGAAGAUUUCUAAAUUCAGAGAAUGGUAACAUGAAUAGUAUUAUACGUUCAUGUAAAAUGCAAAAAACUAUGUCUGGCUUACGCAUCAUCCUGUUCUUAUUAAAUGGUUGUAUCUUGGAGUUAAAACAAAAACAAAACAAAAAUAAAAAAAACCCAUCAAAACACAUUGUUUACUUUGAUUUGAGUAAACAAAGGUACUAUGUACAGUUGGAGAGAAAUUCUGGAGUCUACUGGAAAUUGAAGCAUUUAUUCAGAAUAUCUUGCAAAGACAUCCCACAUCAUCUACCAAAAAAGGGAAGUAAGAAAAGCAGCUAGAGAGGCUUAGAGAGAUCAGCUAAAUCAGAUAAUGAUAUGUGAAGGAUCUUUCCCUUUCUUCUUUCUGUUCACUGUGGCAGCUUUCUGUUCUGCCAUGUGAUGUACUACUGCUCAUGGAAUUGUUGAAGAGUGAGAACAGGACCCCACAGUUAUAGAGAGAAGAGUCUCACAGCAAGAAAAGGGAAAGUAGCUUCUCAAAGUAGAAAUAAGGGGCAAAUAGAGAUAGUUUAUGUAGAGAGUAUUAGAAAACAAGGGAUUCCAAGCACUUUCACUGACGCUAGGUCUGGAAUAACGGGGGAUGAAGUCCAUAAAGAUAAGGACUGGAGAGCAGCUCGAAAACAUUUGGCAGGGAGGUGAUUAGAUGUCUACAGGGCAAACUGAAACCAGUUCAGGGGAUGUCCCCCUUUUGGGGUCAGAAGUUUGCAGUGAGGAAGACUAUGAGCUUUCGUGAGGAAGACUAUGAGCCUUCACCAUCACGACCUAAUAUGCACGCGGGAGGGGAGG